AAGAGAUACAAUUUUCACAAGAAAAUUCCACAAAAUACUGGGGGGAAUCUCAAAAGUGAAAUAAAAUAGAUAAGACUCAACAUCAUGCCAGCAACCAAAUCAGAUGGAAUAAAAAUAUGCAGGCUUGAAGUAUUCUAAAAAGAAGAAGAUAAUUCAUAACAAAGUAAGUGUUAUAUAUAGUACAUUAAAGGUAAAAAUACAUACACAGAAGCAGUGGAAGAUAACUGCAAGAAAAGUUCAGUAUGAUUCAAACUGGGAAUACUUCCUACACUGACAAAAUGAAACCCAGACAAAGCAAAGUGGUGGAUAGAAUGGUUGAUGAAUGAAAUGAAAAUGAUCAGUGAAGAUGAAGCAGCUUGCCUCUACUUGCCACACAUUCCGUCAACAGUUCCUCUUCAGUAUCUCUUGAAGUGGCAAAGGGGCAGGAGGACAUUCUUGGCAUUAGGAUGGUCCAAUUCAACUGUCUCCCACCAUUCUUGGGGAAAUAUUUUGAUGUUUUGGAGAGAAGGGAGUGGAGACAGUUGGUCAUUGUCCAACACGAAAAGAGAGAGAGGCAUCCUCUUUAACUUCAGGCAACUGUCUACAUAAAUUCUACAGAGAGAAUUGCAAAUCAUUUUUCCACUGCAAAUGCUCUUUAGUUCUGGUAAGUAACUCAAACUAAUAGACUGUAAUUUUGGGAGAGGGAAAUGAAUAAUGCCCUUGCUUUUAUGGCUUUCUUGUUGCUCUUCCAUUGCUAUCAGCUCCUCUAUGUUUUUACAAUAAUGAACAGAAAUGUCUUCCAGCUUUUGAAGGUUUGAAGACAAGCCAGGAGGGAACAGCUUCUUUAUACUUGGACAUCCCCACAUAGAAAAUUUUUUAAGAAGAGAAAAGGUACCAAGAGGUGGUGACAAUGGCAUAAAUUUUGCUGGUGGUGAUGCCAUAGCUGCUUCUCUACCAAAGAGGAAAUGCAAGUCCUUUAAAUCGCUAAUAUACAUAUCCUCAAGGCUUUGAAAUAUAGAAGGAGAAGAGGACAAUGAGAACAAACAUUCUAUCCCAUUACAAGAUGCAAUUGUGAAGGAUCUUGGUUCAGUCGCAUUUUUCAAGCAUAAGCUCCUUCGUUUGAUGUCGCAUUGAAAAAAAUCCAGGCAUUGGACGUCUUUUGGGAGAAGUAUGGCAUCUUCAUCUCCAUCGAUACUGCAAUUAUCAAAAUACACAACUUUCAAACCUCGUGGUAACAAGUUGUCUGGUGGCUUAUGUUGGGCAACCAGAAGAUAGUAUUGAAUUAGAUUGGAAGUAUGUGUUGAAGUUGUGUAUGCAUUCAACUCAUCAACAUCAUAGACACGACAUUCCAAUCUUUCCAACUUCCUCAAGGAUGCUAUUUCCACUGCUUUAACUUGGUCAAGAAUGAGGACUUGCAGAGAGAAAAGGUUUGGUAAUAUUCCAGUUGGUAACUCCUUUAUUUCUGUGUUACUGAGAUCCAGAUACUCAAGAUUGAAAAGCAAUUCUAUGCCUUGAGGCACAUGUUUAACUUUAGUAUAAUGCAUAUCCAACUUCUUCAGCGCUGUAAGUUGUGCCAAUGAUGGCAUGUGCCUCAGCCUGCUACACCCUCUGAGCAAUAAGGCACUUAGAUUCACCAAAUGGGAGAUGAAAACCGGCAAUUGUUCAAUACGAGUAUAAGAGAGAUCCAGAACCUUGAGCCCAUGCAACUGAACGAAAAAAGAAUCUGCAAUUGAUCUCAACUUAUUGCCACACAAUAAUAAGGUUGAAAGCUGGGGACACCUUGGUGAAUAGCCAGAAGGAAUUUCCUCUAUAUGGUUAUACAUUAAUGAAACUCUCACAAGAUCCUCUGCCCAAUUCCUCCAAUUUGGCAUUUCAAACAGCUGUUUACCUGCUUUAACCAUCACUCUUGGAUCCACUUUCAUUAUUUGGAUGGCCAUAUCUCGAACCAAGUCAUGCAUCUUCACACAUCUGCCUCCCUGUUCCACAACACUUUCCAACAAGCAUACUUUUUCAAGUCUAUUUAAUAUGGUAUGACCCAUAUCAAUUUCUGCUUCCCUGCUUCCUCCUUCUAUUAUUCCCUCAACAAUCAAAUACUCUAUCAACUCCACUCUUUUGAUUUUAUGAUCUUCUGGAUAUAAUGCACAGUACAAGAAACACUGUUGCAAUGCUGAAUCAAUCAAGCGAUUAUAACUAAAUUUCAAUAUUCGGAAUACCUCAUAUUCCAUGUCACCUUGCCAAAGUAUUGAUUCUUGCAGUUCCCUCAAUGCAUUUCGCCAUUCAUAAACAUCACUCACUCCCCUCAUACUUCCAGCUAUUGUUACAAUUCCAAGUGGCAAACCAGCACAUUCCCUCACAAUAGCUUUUGCAAUUGGUUUAACUUCUUCUAAAACUGCUUCUCCUAUUUUCUCCUCGAAUAAGUUCCAAGAUUCCUUUUCGGAAAGAGGCUCCACUUUGAAUUUUUUUUGACAACCCAUCCUCCAACAAACAUCUAACGAACGAGUUGUAAGAAUCAACUUACAUCCAUUCGCUCCAACAGGUAUACCUACUUUCUCCAGAGGAAAAUGGAUCCACAAAUCAUCAAGAAUAAGAACAAAUUCUGGUCUCUUACUUAAAGCUUUUGACAGUUUUGCAGCUCUUUUCUUUUCAUCAUCUUCAUUGGAAAGAUCAAAACCGAUAGUUUUGGCAACACGAUUCUGCAAUUUAGAAAUGCUCAAGUCUUGUGAUACAGAUGUCCAAUAAACAUUUCUGUUUCUUAGAAGAAGCUCAUUAUGAAUAUGUGUUACCAGUGCUGUUUUACCUACUCCUCCCAUCCCCCAAACACCUAUAAUUUUAACCUUAUCUGACUGCCCUAGAUCCAGAUAGAGUCUCAUUUUCUCCAAUCUUAAUUCCAUUCCAACGUGACCCUUAGUUAUGUCACUGCUAAAUCGUCCCAACUUGCUGAUUAUGUCUUUAACGAUCUCACUAAUAAACUCUGCCUCAAGCCUGCAGCAUAAAAAAUCUGACACUGAAUCAUAUUGGAAUAAAAAGCAAAAGGAAAUAUCAGGUGAUUAUAUUCAUGCUGCAAGUAGGGAAAAUGAAUAAUAUGCUGUUGAAAGGAAUAAACUAUAGACUAAGAAAGUUAUUUCUUAACAAUCCUAAUCAAAUAGCAUGUAUAGAGCAUUACUGGUAAUGUAGACAUUACCAGAUUUCAUUCAAAUCAUUAAGUACUUGUUGGUCACAUUGAUCAAGCUGAGAGUUCUCAGAGCACCAGGAUCUAAAAUUAAAUUGGAACAGAAGUUACACUGACCUGUCUUGCAGAUCCCAUCCAGAGAGAUCAGCCACUUCUCUCAUUGCAGCUCUCCAUUGUUGCACUUUCUCAAUAUUCUCCUUGAAACUUCCUUCAUGGACAGCAAAUGCCUUUUCAAAAUUCCCCGACUGCUUUCGCACUUGAGAUGGAGUUACAUCAUAGAAUAUUGGCAAAACUGUUUGCCUCCCAGCUUUCUUGCAUUCAAGAAUUCGUACAAGUUCAUCCAAACACCAUGUUGAACAAGCAUAAUUUUUCGAGAAAAUGAUGAUUAGGAUUCUCGAUUCUGCUAUUGCUUUAGGAAGUGCUUGCGAAAUACUUUGGCCUGUCUCAAGUUCUCUAUCGUCCUUGAAAGUGUUGAUUCCCUCAUGACAUAACCGUUCAUAUAGAUGACUAAUAAAAUUUCUGCGGGUGUCUUCACCUCGGAAACUAAGGAAUGCAUCAUAUUUCCAUU
rnacentral:misc_RNA from 1 species